GUGUGUGUGUGUGUGUGUGUGUGUGUGUUGCAAAGGGAAGUUUCCAUAAUGAGAGAUGAAAACUACACUUAUCUGUGAAUGAAAGGAUAAACAUUUAGAAUAUCAUUAGGAAUUUGGCUGGUUUCAUAAAGUGGUAGUUUUCAAUUUUUCUCUAAGAUCCAUGAAUUCUCUAGCCCUGAAAAAGGUGGCUAGAUUUCCAUUACCAGAUAUGUUUUUUUUUUCUCUUACCAAGCAGGGCUUACAUAUAAUUAGAGAGCUAUGUAUACCAAGGUAUGUAUACCACUACUGCAUUUUUAAGAUUGCCAUGCCAUUCUAGUCAUUUAUGAGGUUCUUAGACAUUGUGGCUGGGCAGGACAUUUUGUUGCUUCUUUCCUUUGUAAAGUUGCAUGAUGUCUUCUGGUACCAUGAAAGCUAGUCAGAGGAAGGUUUUGUUUAGUUUGAUCGGAGGAAUGUUCUAAGCUGACCUGGAGCUUAUGAUAAUCCUACCUCAGACUUCUAAAUGCUUUGAUUUGAGACAUGUGACAUUUUGUUUAACUUUAUCGUCUGAGUUUACAGGAUUAUUUCACAAGGCAAUAAAUGUUUGAAUCUGAGAGCAAGCAGUGAAGGAAGAAUUGCUUUUCCUUGUAUUUUGACAUUAACUCAGGACCUUGUGUAAACUUGGGCAAGCACUCUUUCUUAACUAUAUGAGAAGCACUCUUUGUUUUCAAGACAGGAUCUUGCUAAGUUGUUCAAGCUGUCAUUUAGCUUAACGAGUGUCUAAAUACCUUAUUUGCUUUUCCUCUUAAUAGCAACUAUUGGGUCAUUUUAACCACUAGUGUGCAGGAAAACAGUUAAUAAAAUGUGCCUCUGAUCAUGAGUACGCUGGGUACUGUUUACUGUGGUGAUCAUUCUGUUUCUUCCCUGCAUGUUUCCUAUAUCUUUGGUGUUCUUUUUUAAAUUAUGAUUUGUUGUAUUGUUUAAUGAAAUGUAACAAUGGAUGAGUAUCAGUAUUUGAAAGUCUAAACAUCAAAAGUUUCUACUACAUAGAAAGC
rnacentral:lncRNA from 1 species